UCCUUCCACUUCCCCCGGCCCGAGAGAGAGGAGCAAAAUGCAACCCGUUCGAUCUUAGACGAAAUCUUUCGUCAAGGACGUCGUCCCGACCCUCUCUCUCUACCGCUCUGCUUCCGCCCUUGAAGUUCGUCUCAAAGAGUUUGAGAUCUUCACCCUGGAUUGCCUCCGAGACUGCAGCUACAUGGUGUUGGUUCCAGAACGAGAAUGUAGUUGCAAAUGCAGUAGUACAAGUUGCAAAGGCACAGCAUGAACAAACAUCGACAUGGUGCAACCGCAUUACAGUCAAAAGCUAGUACAAAUGAAGUUAUAUUAGGUAGCAUAUAGGCUCUAAUUUGGAGUAAUGUGUUGUAAAUGUAAUCAUCUAGCAAAGAAUCUAAUGAUCGAGUUAGCUUAACUGUAA